UGGAGGAAAGCAGGGGAUCGUAAGACCUUGCGCUUUUGGAGCGGCCGAUGUCUGAUUAGCUAGUUGGUGGGGUAAUGGCCUACCAAAGCUUCGAUCAGUAGCUGGUCUGAGAGGACGGCCAGCCACACUGGGACUGAGACACGGCCCAGACUCCUACGGGAGGCAGCAGUGGGGAAUUUUGGACAAUGGGCGCAAGCCUGAUCCAGCCAUGCCGCGUGAGUGAAGAAGGCCUUCGGGUUGUAAAGCUCUUUCAGCCGGGAAGAAAAGGCUGCGAUUAAUAAUCGCAGUUCAUGACGGUACCGGAAGAAGAAGCACCGGCUAACUACGUGCCAGCAGCCGCGGUAAUACGUAGGGUGCGAGCGUUAAUCGGAAUUACUGGGCGUAAAGGGUGCGCAGGCGGCUUUGUAAGUCAGAUGUGA
rnacentral:rRNA from 1 species